CCUACGGGGGGCAGCAGUGAGGAAUAUUGGUCAAUGGGCGGGAGCCUGAACCAGCCAAGUCGCGUGAGGGACGACGGUCCUAUGGAUUGUAAACCUCUUUUGUCGGGGAACAAAGGCGCCCACGGGUGGGCGGAUGAGUGUACCCGAAGAAAAAGCAUCGGCUAACUCCGUGCCAGCAGCCGCGGUAAUACGGAGGAUGCGAGCGUUAUCCGGAUUUAUUGGGUGUAAAGGGCGUGUAGGCGGGACGGCAAGUCAGAUGUGAAAACCACGGGCUCAACCUGUGGCCUGCAUUUGAAACUGUAGUUCUUGAGUACUGGAGAGGCAGACGGAAUUCCUAGUGUAGCGGUGAAAUGCGUAGAUAUGAGGAGGAACACCAGUGGCGAAGGCGGUCUGCUGGACAGCAACUGACGCUGAGGCGCGAAAGCGUGGGGAGCAAACAGGAUUAGAUACCCGGGUAGUC
rnacentral:rRNA from 1 species